GAAAAGAAACCAACAGGGAUUGCCCUAGUAACGGCGAGUGAAGCGGCAACAGCUCAAAUUUGAAAUCUGGCCUCGGCCCGAGUUGUAAUUUGCAGAGGAUGCUUCUGGCGCGGUGCCUUCCGAGUUCCCUGGAACGGGACGCCACAGAGGGUGAGAGCCCCGUAUGGUCGGACACCAAGCCUGUGUGAAGCUCCUUCGACGAGUCGAGUAGUUUGGGAAUGCUGCUCUAAAUGGGAGGUAAAUCUCUUCUAAAGCUAAAUACCGGCCAGAGACCGAUAGCGCACAAGUAGAGUGAUCGAAAGAUGAAAAGCACCUUGAAAAGGGGGUUAAAUAGUACGUGAAAUUGUUGAAAGGGAAGCACUUAUGACCAGACUUGGGCCGGGCGGCUCAUCAGGGGUUCUCCCCUGUGCACUCCGCCCGGCACAGGCCAGCAUCGGUUCUCGUGGGGGGAUAAGACCGUCAGGAACGUAGCACCCUCCGGGGUGUGUUAUAGCCUGGCGGACGAUACCCCCGUGGGGACCGAGGUCCGCGCUCCGCAAGGAUGCUGGCGUAAUGGUCAUCAGUGACCCGUCUUGAAACACGGACCAAGGAGUCGUCCAUUAGAGCGAGCGUUUGGGUGUAAAACCCGCACGCGUAAUGAAAGUGAACGCAGGUGAGAGCUUCGGCGCAUCAUCGACCGAUCCUGAUGUUCUCGGAAGGAUUUGAGUAAGAGUUUUAACGGACGGACCCGAAAGACAGUGAACUAUGCUUGUAUAGGGUGAAGCCAGAGGAAACUCUGGUGGAGGCUCGCAGCGGUUCUGACGUGCAAAUCGAUCGUCAAAUAUGAGCAUGGGGGCGAAAGACUAAUCGAACUGUCUAGUAGCUGGUUACCGCCGAAGUUUCCCUCAGGAUAGCAGUGUUGAUCUUCAGUUUUAUGAGGUAAAGCGAAUGAUUAGGGACUCGGGGGCUAUAUAUUGCCUUCAUCCAUUCUCAAACUUUAAAUAUGUAAGAAGCCCUUGUUACUUAAUUGAACGUGGGCAUUCGAAUGUACCAACACUAGUGGGCCAUUUUUGGUAAGCAGAACUGGCGAUGCGGGAUGAACCGAACGCGGGGUUAAGGCGCCAGAGUGUACGCUCAUCAGACACCACAAAAGGCGUUAGUACAUCUUGACAGCAGGACGGUGGCCAUGGAAGUCGGAAUCCGCUAAGGACUGUGUAACAACUCACCUGCCGAAUGUACUAGCCCUGAAAAUGGAUGGCGCUCAAGCGUACCGCCCAUACCCCGCCCCCAGGGUAGAAACGAUGCCCUGGGGAGUAGGCGGCCGUGGGGGUCUGUGACGAAGCCUAGGGCGUGAGCCCGGGUCGA
rnacentral:rRNA from 1 species